GAUGAACGCUAGCGGCAGGCCUAACACAUGCAAGUCGAGGGAGGAGCUUUCGGGCUUCGACCGGCGUACGGGUGCGUAACGCGUAUACAAUCUGCCUUUCACAUAGGGAUAGCCCGAAGAAAUUUGGAUUAAUACCUAAUGGUAUAUAGGAGUGGCAUCACCUUUAUAUUAAAGCUGAGGCGGUGAAAGAUGAGUAUGCGUUCUAUUAGCUAGUUGGAGAGGUAACGGCUCCCCAAGGCGACGAUAGAUAGGGGUUCUGAGAGGGAUAUCCCCCACACUGGUACUGAGAUACGGACCAGACUCCUACGGGAGGCAGCAGUGAGGAAUAUUAGACAAUGGUCGGAAGACUGAUCCAGCCAUGCCGCGUGCAGGAAGACGGCCUUAUGGGUUGUAAACUGCUUUUGCAGGGGAAGAAUAAGGAGUACGUGUACUUUGAUGACGGUACUCUGCGAAUAAGCAUCGGCUAACUCCGU
rnacentral:rRNA from 1 species